rnacentral:rRNA from 1 species
UACGAAGGGGGCUAGCGUUGCUCGGAAUUACUGGGCGUAAAGGGCGCGUAGGCGGCUCUGUUAGUCAGGCGUGAAAGUCCUGGGCUCAACCUGGGAAUUGCGUCCGAAACUAUGGAGCUGGAGUGUGGCAGAGGGAGGUGGAAUUCCACGUGUAGCGGUGAAAUGCGUAGAGAUGUGGAGGAACACCGAUGGCGAAGGCAGCCUCCUGGGCCAACACUGACGCUCAUGCACGAAAGCGUGGGGAGCAAACAGG